rnacentral:rRNA from 1 species
GCGAAAGCUUGACGGAGCAACGCGCGUGAGUGAUGAAGGUCUUCGGAUCGUAAAACUCUGUUAUUAGGGAAGAACAAAUGUGUAAGUAACUAUGCACGUCUUGACGGUACCUAAUCAGAAAGCCACGGCUAACUACGUGCCAGCAGCCGCGGUAAUACGUAGGUGGCAAGCGUUAUCCGGAAUUAUUGGGCGUAAAGCGCGCGUAGGCGGUUUUUUAAGUCUGAUGUGAAAGCCCACGGCUCAACCGUGGAGGGUCAUUGGAAACUGGAAAACUUGAGUGCAGAAGAGGAAAGUGGAAUUCCAUGUGUAGCGGUGAAAUGCGCAGAGAUAUGGAGGAACACCAGUGGCGAAGGCGACUUUCUGGUCUGUAACUGACGCUGAUGUGCGAAAGCGUGGGGAUCAAACAGGAUUAGAUACCCUGGUAGUCCACGCCGUA